rnacentral:rRNA from 1 species
AUGAACGCUGGCGGCGUGCCUUAUGCAUGCAAGUCGAACGGCCUCCAGUGCCGCAAGGUGCUGGAGCAGUGGCGAACGGCUGAGUACUACAUAAGUAACCUACCCUCGAGUGGGGAAUAAUCCCGAGAAAUCGGGACUAAUACCGCAUAGCCUGGCCUGACAAAAGUUGGGUUAGCAAAGAUGCAAAUCGCUUGAGGAGGGGCUUGUGUCCUAUCAGGUAGUUGGUGAGGUAAUGGCCCACCAAGCCUAAGACGGGUAGCUGGUCUGAGAGGAUGUCCAGCCAGAUGGGGACUGAGAAACGGCCCCAACUCCUACGGGAGGCAGCAGCAGGGAAUUUUGCGCAAUGGGCGAAAGCCUGACGCAGCGACGCCGCGUGAGGGAUGAAGGCCUUCGGGUCGUAAACCUCUUUUUAUGGGGACGAGCAAGGACGGUACCCAUAGAAUAAGCCCCGGCUAACUACGU